GUAUUGUAAGCGUAGUUAUGAUGUAAAUAAAUUAAGUGUGAAUAUUGAGGUGGGGUACUCAGGUGGAGAAAGUUGCCCUGUAAGCAGAAGGUUUGUUCAAAUUCCCGGAACAGCUGAGAAAGUGUAGGCGGUGGAAAUCGAACAAAGUAGUGCUUUGCUUUGUCUUUCAUCAAGACUCAGAGGUUUUAAUUACACGAGUGGAGCUGCUCAUUCUCCAAUGGGUAAAUAAGGCCUUAAUAGGCACGUCUGUGUGGUCUGUGGCAUGUGUUCCUACUCAUUGUGAACUGUACAUGAGUUUGCUGUAUGGGAUCACAAUUGCAGGCCUCCAAAGUGAGGACAAUUAUCCUGUCCUUACUUCUUCUGAGGGGUAUAUUUGUGAUUUAAACUCAAGGUUGGAGUCCUCAUAAGUGUAGUCUUGCAAAUCCAAUUAUGUUUUUCUGUAAUGUAAAGAUCUGGAGGGCUGAAUGUCUGGAUUACAUUUACCAUGUUCGACUGGCACAUUUGCCAAAAGUGAUUUUUACUACUACAAUGUUUUUCAUUGUGUCAUGUUCGGACAAAAACCUGCAACAGGAACGCUUCAUAGUCAGUGGAACAAUGUCCCGUAAUCUGAUCCCGAUGGGCUGAUAUGUCGAUCCAUCUCGAUGCCAGCACCAUGAUGUCACGGCGUGUUUGCUACGGUUCAAACAUCUUAAUCAUCAGCAACAGUCGGGGCUGGAUUUCAAAACUCACUAUCCCCUUUUUUCGUUAUUUAACAACCAUAAAUAUUUUAUAAGCCACAGAUGUUGCUUAGAGUGGGUGUGGAAGCAGAAAUAAUCUCAUUGGUUCAGUUGGAGGAAAAUUUGCAAAUGGGGAAAAUGGAGCCAUCAGGCAGAAACUAAUAUGAUUAUAUGAAUCAUCCAUUCAUGAUGGUGGCAUUUGUUGUGUCUGUCUGUCGCUUUUGAUGAGAUUUAAUUUAAACAAUGCCUCAGACAUGUCAUAUCUCAUGCCGCUUAACAAAAAUGAUGAAUCUCUACCAAACAGUUCUUUAUUGAAUGUUCCCUGUAGAGUUUUUUCAGUGAUUGUAGCGCUAUGGGACAAUAUUUUUGGGUGGGAUGGACCAAAAAAUCAACUUUGCAAAUGUAAACUGAUUUAUAACCGUCACUAAGGCUCUUCAAAGAUACGCACAUUUUAGUAAGAGAUGGUAAAAAGUAAAACCUUUUAAAGGACCAGUGUGUAGGAUCUGCUGCAACCAACUUAAUACACCUCACCUCACCUUCCCAUUGGUGUGUGGGAGAAACUAGUGGCCACAAAACUCAAGAAAACCACAAAAAACUUUUGGUUUGUCCAAACUGAGCUACUGUGCAUGGUAUUAAUAACAUGGUUAUCAAUAUUAUCUUCCAUUUCUGCCAUAUUCGAUCAUUAGGGCCCCCUAAAACUUACACACCGGACCUUUAACAUUUAAAGAAUUGGUGGACAAAUCAGUCAGCUGGAGCAUUCGCUUUCACCACCAUCUUUUUCCACCCUCUCUUUGAAAGCCUAAGCAAAAAAAAAUAAUAAACUGUUUCUUUUGGACAACCGGUCUGUCAAACUGAAACAUGGCUUGUGAUGUACGUCUCUUGGAAAUAUAUAAUUAUUCAGCAAGCCAACAAUUCUCGAAAAAAUAUAUUUAUAUAUUUUAAAAUAUAAACACAGCAUGGAUCUUGGAUGGGAGCUCAAAACAGAGACCGGAGCUGAAAAACUGGACUCUGUGCUGAUUUAUGUGAGGUUUAGAGCUCACUGCGUUUCACAAUACCAGCUCAGUAUCUUUCUGCGGGUCUAAUGGAGAGCAAAUGAUCGACAAUGUGUCCGACUCGCGGUCUGGCAAUUUCUAAUGUGACGCUACAAACUGUAGAAACGCAGCUCAAAAGGCACUUUUUGUCCAGAACCAUUUCUGUGGCAGAGCCACAGAGAACAGAGUAUUUACAUAAAUGAGACAUUAUUCAAUAGUAAAAACAGAACUGCCAAGAUCAACAGCAAUGGGCUGUUUUCAUCUUUGAGAAAGUAAUUGAUCAAGAUGGCCUUGGGUUGGUUUCACAGAAGACUGUUAGCAAAGAUGGUUGGUUUCAGAUGUUGAUGCACACACACUCUUGCGUCUCUCUUGUCCAGCUGAUCUCAUUUUAACUGGCUAAUUAGUUGUUUUCCUCUCAGAACCUGCGUGUUUCAGAGAAUGAAAAUCUAAUUUGAUAACCUUGUUUGCAUAUGUUUUCUUUAGGCGCCACGUUGGCUCAGCGGUUAGCAAAAAGUUCCGGGUUUGGACCCAACAUGCACGGCUGGGAAAGUUCGCUAUGGUUUGAAUUUGAGGAACUUGAGACGUUGAGUGCAGUGACACAUUUUUGGUGCGUCGACGUUGGACUUCAGCGCAUUGAGUUUCAAAUAAAACAGUGACUCAGCUCAGAUUUACUUUGAGGGUGUUUACAUUCGCGUGGGUUGAACACUGUUGCCAUUUUUUCUAAAUAAUCCCCAACAUUUUUCAAGGACUGGAAUGAAGUAAUUUGGGUAAAUAUUUGUAACUCAGUGGCUCUCUGAAGUGUUCGACCAUCUCGAUGAUAAGACCAGACAGUCAGCUUCUUUUUGCUUCUUUCAGUUGUUCUCACAUAAGUGUUACAUGUGGUCAACAUGGUUAAAAUUCAGCUAUUUGACCUCCUACUCAUUGUUUCAUCACAAACCCCACCGAUCUUCUGAGUAUUACAGAGCCAAAGCUGAAACUCUGUUCUUAUUUUUGACAAUCGAAUUGGCCUCUCAUCUUAUAAACUCUUACCAACAUUAUCUUCUCUUUCUUUAGGCAUCAAAAAGCAGCUUGAUUUGAUUUAAAACUCUCUAGUUAUCAAGACUUUGGGAUGACAUGGCUCCACACUGCGAAGGCAGAUUUAUGGGGGACUUUUUAAAUCCUAAACAGAGCAUGGCACUAAAGCAGCAUGUCACACAUGACUUAUUAAUUAAUUAUCUAACACAAAGUGCAUAGUCGCUCUGCAGGGCGCUGCAAAUGAAAAACAUUUUAACUCUGGAAACGUAAUUAAUGAAUCAACCAGCGGGAGAUCAUGAAUUGUUUUCCUGCAAAGAAACUUAAGAAAAAUUAUGUUUGGACUACAUCCCAAUUGGUAAUUAUUUGCAAGAGUUGGUUACUUUGAUUUCUGGAGUUGUUCUCAUGUCUCCUUAGCCCACUACUACACAAGGGACCUCAAAGGUCAGGGGUCAGCUGCAGACCAGAAACUGAAGUUGAGGAUAAAACAACUUUUAAACCAGUAGCUCCCAAGAUUCUUGGCAUAUAGACCCCUUAAAAUCAAGCUGUAUUCACGUGUUUCACAAGUUUUAGAUAUCAAUAACUUGUCGGCAGUUCAACCAAUAUUUCCCAAAAUAAGCAAAGAUAGGAGAAAAGAAAUUAGUCUGGCAGAACUUUGUUGUUUCUUCUUUCAUUUUUCCAUUUUUGUCAUUUUGUAAAUAAGUUUCAAUUGCAAGUUGGGAACCACACAUGUAGAUUACAAAUAACCAAUGUUUCGACUGCAUCCAAAUUACGAUAGAGCUGUGUUGUUGUAACUACAUGCAGAGCGACAAUCAUCAAAAUGCCUUUGAAACAAUGGUUACUUCAUCCUAGUUUGAAGUUUAGGUGGCACAUUACGAAUGUUGUAAUAAGAAUCAUUGACAUUGGCAAGCAGUGUCGCCCCAGUAAACACUUUUGGUGUGAGAGUGCACUGGAUUACACAAACUUUGCUCUUAUUUCUUCCUUUUAUGGCCUUUUUAGUCCAAAUUGCGCUGUAUAUAAACAGUGCGAGCUGUUGGUUACAAUCCAUCUUUGCUUUGCAAGUGGUGUUCAUCCAGUUUAUUUUAGUAUGUUGUCUAGUUCUCUAUGUGUGGUGGGUCCAGUCUUUGCAGGUUUCAGCCGGUCUUCAGGUUCAGACACCUACAGUUGCUGCAAUCAUGCUUACAGGGAUGUUUACGCUGAGAUUAGCAGUUCAAGGAUGUUCUCUCGAUACACUGUAGAUCUCCACGGACACAGAAAGUUCAAAUAUUUAUUUAUUUCCUUAGCAACAAUGUGCUACACAUGUUCACAGCUACAAAACUGUCCAGUAGAAACACGCCAACACAGACACAUUCAAUGCAAAAGUUUUCCCAGCUGGCCCCCGGGGGUGGAUUCAUGCUGCUAAAGUAUGAGUGUGUACGUUACAUUAUCAUCAUCGCUGGACCUGUUUCUGUUAACUGUUUGUUUUGGUUGGAGUGCAAGAAAGAAAAAGGCCGUAUCAUUUACCCCGGAUAAUAAACUGACGGAGGGAAAGUGAACUUGGCAUGUGCGAUGUGAUGGGAGCAUAGAAAGCCCAACAGAAACGUGACCGGGUGCAUGCCACCCGGCGGAGGAGGGGGAAAAAAGCCGCAAAGACAGCAAUCAAACACAAACCGAAAAUUGGCCUUCAAUUUUGGGCUUUGCGGGAAAAAUAAACGGGAUGUGUUGUUGUGUUUUCGUAGCUCCCCCGCAAUGUAAAUAGAGUAUAUACACAGGUAUGUGUGAACCACAGUGCCAGAGGAAAGGGCACAGCCUAGAUGUCACUUCAAUAAAAGUGUGUGUGGAAGCAUAUAAAUCCUUUUCUCUGCGGCAAAACAAACUGAAAGCCGAGUACACUAACAAAGAAAUCUGUGUGUGUGUGUGUGUGUGUGUGUGUGUGUGUGUGUGUGUGUGUGUGUGUGUGUGUGUGCGCCAGAGUAAAAAACACGUAGGGGUUGAGUCUGUGCUAGUCAGUGCAUGGUUUAUGUCUGCGAAUAUUCUCUCCCAAAUCUUUCUUUAUGUACGUCUGUGUCUUGUUACUGAAUCUGGUCUGUGUUUUUCCUAAAAUUCACCUUUUCUAUGCUCGCUCCAUGAGCUGGUUUUGCUCCAUGGACUUCAUACGGGAGUUUUUCCAGCUGCAGAAGUUGCAUAUUUGCAUGCUUACAAAUGUUUUUUUGUUUUUUUUAUGGAUUUGUCAGUGUGUGUUUUUUGGUAAACAGGCGUUGGUGUGUCAGAUUUAGCACGAAUGCACCAGAUUCAUCUGAUUAAGUCGCUGGUAGCUGCACAUAUUUAUGUAAUAGGUUGACAUUCUGGGAUUUGUUUGCAAAUUAAUGAAUCAAAUACGAAGCUCAUUUUGUGGACAUGACACGAUCGGCGUAACGUGAAUCAGUAAAUCUUUCCCAAAAUGUCAAACUGUGUUGUGCUAACGUAAGGUGAGUCUACUCCAACACCCGGAUGAUCUUUAUCGGUGUUUGGUGUCGACUCUCCAGUGCCCUUCAGCGUUUUUAAGUUUGUUUUGGUGAUUUGCAAAAGAACAAAAGUCAGAAUUUUACACAUACUGGUGCUUUCAGUGAGUAUACUUCAGUGUUAUAUGCUCUGUUACUGUUGAAACAACUGUUUUACAUAAUCUAGACUUCUACAAAACCUAGACUUUUUUUUUUGUUUUUUUUUGCUUUUGAUCUGAAAAUAACCUAAACCAUACUCUGCCAACGGUCUUUGUUUGUGUGCGAUUAGCCUAUUUACAUGUGUGUCUGUCAUCUUGUUCUCAAUGCUCUGUUGUUGUUUCUGGUCGGAUGCUUUAAUGAUCCUUUGGAAAAUAAAAGUGAAUGCAGCUCCACAGGGUAGACGAGAAAGACAAGACAGAUCAAAAUUCUUGACACGAAAAGAAAAAAAAAAAAAAAAACAAGCUGUGAAAAAUACGAGGAGGGAAAAACUGAAAGAGAAAGAGAAGGCAGACCGGUCGGUCUGCAUACCACCCUCUGCCUCUUUCUCUCUCUCUCUUUGUCCUUUUAUCUUCUUCUGCUCGGCUCAUUCAUAUUGGCAUUUACGAGAUUUCUCCCUCCUCCUUCUUGUUUUCAGUUCUUGCAGACUCUUUUUUUGUUCGAAAGGCACUUUAUGUUGCAUCUCACAGUCUUUUAAAAAAAAAAGCAAUCCUUAUCCUCCUAUUACAAAUGUCCUUGCAUGAAAUCCACAGUUCUAGUGUUGCGGGUAGAUAGUCCUCAGCAAAAUCCAAGUGGUUUUGAGUCCAGUCAAGGUAAAAUACACAUGAAUUACAAUCACCACAGUUCAUCAUCUAAAUCUUCUCAGCUCGUUCAUAUGUACAGUACUCUCAUGGCACGCUUUUAAAAAACAAAGUUAUAUUCCACAAAUCAUUGACUUUGGUUUGAUUUUUUUUUUUUUGU